UACGGAGGAUGCAAGCGUUAUCCGGAAUCAUUGGGCGUAAAGAGUCUGUAGGUGGCAUUUAAAGUCUGCUCUCAAAGACCGAAGCUCAACUUCGGGCCGGGGGUGGAAACUAAAAAGCUAGAGUAUAGUAGGGGUAGAGGGAAUUCCUAGUGUAGCGGUGAAAUGCGUAGAGAUUAGGAAGAACACCAGUGGCGAAGGCGCUCUACUGGGCAUAUACUGACACUGAGAGACGAAAGCUAGGGUAGCGAAAGGG
rnacentral:rRNA from 1 species